ACGCAGCCCGACCUGAACGGAGCUCUUUUUCUUUUUUAGCAAAAAAAGAAAAAAGCGGGAGUGGAGGGCGGAUAAGCU
rnacentral:sRNA from 1 species